rnacentral:rRNA from 1 species
ACAUGAAUAUACCGGUUCUCGUUAGAUCACCGAAGUCAAGCAUCAUUGGGCGCGGUCAGUACUUGGGUGGGUGACCACCUGGCAACACCGCGUGCCGUUG